rnacentral:rRNA from 1 species
GUCUAAUCUGCCCAAUGAAAAUUUUAAUGGCUGCAGUAUCAAUAACUGUACAAAGGUAGCAUAAUAAUUAGUUUUUUAAUUAAAAACUAGAAUGAAAGAUUAAAUGAAAUAUAAACUUUAUAAAUAAAAUAAAAAUUAAAAUUAAAUUUUAAGUUAAAAUUCUUAAAUAUAAUUAAAAGACGAGAAGACCCUUUAGAAUUUUAUAUUAAUUUAAAUUAAAAUUAAAAUAUUAUUUAUAUAAAUUUAAACUAAUAUUUAAUUGGGGUAAUUUUUUAAUUUCAUAAACUUUAAAAUAAUUAAACAUUAAUUUAUGAAUUUAUAAACCUAAAAUUUAGAAUUUUAAAAUAAAUUACCUUAGGGAUAACAGCGUAAUUUUUUUUGAAAGUUCACAUUUAUAAAAAAGAUUGCGACCUCGAUGUUGAAUUAAGAUUAA